UGGCAGACUGCGUUUUAUUCAUGUGGGAGAGCGGUUUGCUGAUGUCAACGUUGUGAACAUGAGUGCCCAAUAAUGGCAGUGGGGUUAUUGGCAGGCGAAAGCUACGGAGAAUAAACUCAAUUGGAUUUUAUCGAUGGCAACUUGAAAGCACAGAGAUCCUGAGGCCCGUUGUCGUGCCGUUCAUCUGCCGCCAUCACCUCAUGUUUCAGCACGGUAAUGCAAGGCCCCGUGUCGCAAGGAUCUGUACACCAUUCCUGGAAGCUGAAAAAGGUGUCCGCUCUUCCAUGCUCUGGAUCAAUGCGUAUGACCGUGUUCCAGUUCCCGCCAAUAUCCAGCAACCUUUCACAACAUUUGAAGAGUUGGACAACAUUCCACAGGCCACAAUCAACUCGAUGCGAAGGAGAUGUAUCGCGCUGCCUGAGGUAAACGAUGGUCGCACCAGUUACUGACUGGACUCCUGAUCCACAGCCCCUUUUUAAUAUAUUUUUUUAAGCUAUCUGUAUACCAAGUCAUGUGAAAUACAUUGAUUAGGGCCUAAUGAAUUUCUUCCAAUUUCCUUAUGAACUGUAACUCAGUUAACUCUUAAGAUUUUUGCAUGUUGCGUUUAUAUUUUUGUUCAGUUUACUUCUGAGUUGGUAACAAACUACCAGCUGGAGUGUUAUCUGAACAGGUAUAAAGCCAAGGUUGGCGAAAUAUAUAUUUUUUUCAUGUUGCUUUUAACGUUUCUUUCUGUGUAGUUGGCAAACACACGUUUCUAGAUACUGUGAAACAUCUGUCUUCAUACCUAGUUCUUGAUCCAACUGAAGCACCCUCUUAAAAAUAUAUAUAUAUUAUCUGAAGUUCUCCUGUAAUGAUCAAGUCAUCCCUGCAUGUUAACGGACUAUCUCUCCCUCUCUGGUUGUCUCUUGCUCCAGGCUAACAGGACGUGUCCCAUCUGUCGGGCUGAUGCCUCUGAGGUCCAGCGAGACUCAGAGUGACCACCAGGGGGAGACAACCACUCUGACUGUCAAACAGUUUUAGCACUGCCCCCCCCCCCAUCCCUCCCCUGCAUCUCUUUUCCUCCUCCUGUAACUACUGCCCCUCACUCCACCUUCAAUCUCUUUUGGAAGUGUUUCAGCCUCCUCUAACUCUGCCCUCCAUCUCUCCUUUAGCCCUCUUUCCCUUCUGUCCUCUUCAUCCUCACACUCCAUUCCCUCUGGUCCAGCCCCCCUUGUGUCUCUCUAGCUCUGGAUGUCCCUCAGCUGAACCCGCUGGAGGGUGGGUGGGUGUGUGCGCACAAGCCAAUGUCCACACGUAUGAUUCCUGUCCGCUGGUAUGUGCCAGCGUUGGGUUUGUGUGUAUGAGAGACUGUAUUUUUAGUUAGUCUCCGAUCAUGUAUUUGUGUGUUUAGACUUGGGUAUCCACAUGUAGCUGACACUUAAGGGCCCAUGCCACUCCGCUGCCUCUCUGUAGCCUGAACUAGUUGCUUUUUGUUUAGUUUCUCUGCCUGGCAGUUUACCUCAUCAUUCCUGUUGGUCAUUGUUACCACGACGACACGCUUCACUGUAUUCCUCUGAAGUUUCUCAUUAUUUUUAUCUUUAUUUUUGUUCCUUAAAAGAUGAUUAGUUUGUCUGACUUUGCAGUGGCACAUGUGUUAUAUACUGUAUAAAUAUAUGAAUAUCUGUAUACCAAAUAAAAGGCUUGAUAUUAACUUUUUUUUUUUUUUAAAUCACAUUUUUGGACCGUUUUUUAAAAAUGAAUUAUGAGAUGUGAUGCAGUUGGGUUUGAUUGUGCUGGAUUGAUUAGUCUGUUCUGGAUGUUAGACUUUACGUGGUGGUUAAUUAAUAAAAGACAUGAUACACUG
ensembl:lncRNA